AUUUCUUGUUCAAGGGAUUAAAACAAACAAAAACCACUUACUUUCUGUAUUUUGUUUCCAUGCCUGCGUCUAAAGUGUAUUCAGAAGAAUUCUUUUCAGCAGUCAUGACAUGAAGGCUUAUACAACAGUAUGAAGAGCUGGUGUCUAACUCUGUAACUCUUCAAAGUGAAAAAAAACUUCCAAGUUUUUAAGCUAGUUACAUCUACGCCUGGUUAGACUGGAGUCCAACAGUGGUUGCUGAAAAAAAAAUUACCUGCCUGGGUAGAUGAGAGUUUAUCCCCAUGUGAAAUCCUGCCAAGAAUGCUUGGAGCUGAUGCGUCCAUCGUUUCUUUAAAAGUUUCCUUCAUAUAUCCAGCUGUCUGAGAAAAGAAUUUUCCCUUCAUAAUGGAAUGCAGAAAAAUAAAGUAAGUGCAAAUACUGACCCUUAAAUUCUCCACACUGGUUUCAUUUUAUAUUGGUUUUGGGUAGCUGCUGCAAAAGGAGGUGGAAUGCCUUCUCUUUCACAGACACAGAGACUGGAGACUCUUUUGACUGGGAAAAGGCUUGUUGGCUGUAUAAUCUGGCUACUUUUCUGAGCUACUCAGCCUGUUAUUUUAAUUUCUUAAGACAGUCUUGCAAUUGUCAUUUGCAAUUUUGAUUGUCUGUGUUUUGACAUUUGGGCCACUAGUGAUUCUGUGGCUUUUGAGCAGUUAGUGUCAAAACUGAUGUACAGGAGCUGUUAACGGAGAUUUGAAACCUUGGCAUGGCACAGCACACCAAGCAUAACUGAUUUCAGAUUUACACUGUAUCAUUCAUCUCAGCUGCUGCAUCCCUCUCCAUCAAAAGGCAUGUAAGCAGUAAAUUUCAAGGAAGAUAUGUUUUUGCUGUUUGUAUCCUGGUGCAUUUUUCUUCCUCCACCUUUACACCAGUUCCACCCACAUAUUUUCCAGUUGCUCCGGAUUAUAAUGAUUUCAAAAAAACAUUUUAUUUCUUUGAAUUGUCUGGGGAAUGUGCAAAAGUGGCAGCUGUAAUUGGGAGUUUACAGAGUUUCUUGUGUAUUGCAGUCAACAAGGGAACAAAACAAUUUCCUUUUCAACUUGCAUGAUAAAACACACAGUCCUGUGGUAGUAUCUUCAGGCAAUUCACAGUAUACACCUAGUAACACAGUCUCAUUUGUUAGAAAUAUGUGAGCUGUGUCUGUUGCUACACAGAAAUAUCAGUAAUUUCGUAUAUAUCACUCUAUAAAUAAAAAAUAUCCAGGAAAUCACUACAGUUAUAAAAUAACUUCUGUAUAGCUCUCAUUCCAGAAAGAAGUUUGUCAGAGAAGUUAAAAAUAUUUUCACAGCCUUGCUGAUACACAACCCCAGAAGUCUUGCCUGCUGAAGGCACAUUUUUAUAUGCAGUAAUACAGGCCUAGGAAAUGAGGUUUUGUUUCCCACCCACUGAAAACAAGACCUGUCUCCUUUCAGCCCGGCACUGACAAGGAAGGAGGAUAGAUCCUCAUGCCUUGGGAAUCACAUGAAUACUGUCAUCCUGGCAGGAACUAGGCUUGUCCUUCAUGGUAGGGAACCUUUGACUGGCUCAAGAAGCUGCAGUGAAACCUGUGGCCUUACAGGUGUGAAAGGAUGCCCUACACGCCCCUUUCUCACUCCACAUUUUCCUGUAACAAGCCAUCUGCAGAGGAAUACUAACAAUAUGCUGCAUUUUUACAUAAUGCACAGAAGGCAGGAAUUUACUCCCGGUACUUUUGCUUUCGGUGAUGCUUUCAGAAGAGCAGUGGAUGAUUUUGUACUAGAAACCAGCUAUUUGUAUGUGUUGACAGCUAUUUGUAAGCUGGAGCAGGGAGUGAGAGCAGCAAGUAGUUUCUGCCCAGCCUUGUCUCUAGUGCAGAGCUACUGCUGUCCUGCAGUUCACAGACACUCUGGAUGGGUGUUCAGUGACAAAUUUGCAGUCAUGUGGGCCAAAUAGACCUGAAUUCCACCUGUUCCCACACUGAAUGUUACAAGCUGAGGUGUCAGGAGUACAUCAUGGAUCUCAGUUUUCUACUCCUUGGGGCUGUUUAUCAAGCAGCACACACUGCAGAAAGGUGCUUUUGUUGCCUGGCAAUUAUUUCAGCAACACACAUGGAAACAGUGGCCUCCAUGUGGACAGGUAAUGUUUCAGCUAGGGGUUUGGAUGGGGCUUUGCAGUCCUGGUACAGGAAGGGAGAAGAAAUUUGAUGCCCUGUUGAAAGCAUGAGAAAGAAUAGGAAGGAGGAAAAGAAAUAGCAAGAGGAGCAAGAGAAAUAACUGCAAUAACAAAGUUUCAGUUCUUGAUGAUACUGAUGAAUGUGAAGAGUGUGGUGACUUCUACCACUUCUUUUAGAUCAGCAACCAUUAAAUUUUCACUGCCUGAUGAAAGACAGGAGGGUCUUUGGAGGCAUUGAAAUACAGUGAUGUAAAUAUGCUAUUUUUUUCUUAAUCUCCCUUUCUUUAGGGGAAAGAGAUCACCAGGUCAAAGGAUGUUUAGGUGUAGCAUUAUGCAGUUCCCUUUUCGUACACAGGCCCUUAGUCCUCUUUCAGUUGCUAUUAGAUGAAAGGGCACUGCCCUGAGAUAUAGGGGUAUAAUUCUUAUAUUUAUCAGGACAUUGUAUGUGAUCUUUGGGAAGUGGGCAGUGUUGAAAAAUAGAGUAGGAAUUUAGGACAAAGAGAAAAGUACAAGACAAUAAUGGGUAGCCCGAGGGUAAACAUUUUGUAUAUUCAGAAAAAGAAAAAAGCAUUGAUGACCUUCACAGGAGAUAAUCAGAUGGUGCCUAAAUUAUUAAAGAAUUGCAAAUACACUGGCAUACUAAUACCAUGGAAGAAAGUUACCAUGAUUGCAAUUUGAGAAGAAUUAAGAGUAUGGAAGUAUCCUGAGAACUAUCAAAGGAAAACAAGGUGAUAUGUUUAGCAACUGGUGUGUAGUGGUGGCUGUAGUUCAGUGUAGUUCAGUAGCUGAUUUUUGUCUGGUACCCCAAAAGGAGAAUAGAAGGGGAAAGUGGCCAUCCCUUGACUCUUUAAAGAGGUCUAGAGGAAAUGUCAUGAAGCUGAAUCAGAGGAGGUAUAGAUUAUAUAUCUAGAAAAAAAUUUGUCACCCAGAGCAUUGGAAGAGGUUUCCCAGGGAAGUGGUCACAGCAGCAAGCCUGACAGAGUUCAAUAAAUUGUUUGGUACUCUCAGGCACAGGGUGUGACUCUUGGGUGUCCUGUGCAUGAUCAGGAGCUUGAAUUAAAACUCCUUCCAACUCAGCAUAUUCUAUGUUCAGUGAUUCUACGAUUGUAUAAUUCUAUGAUCUGAUAAUGCUGUGGAUUGGGGAUUGUGUUCAUUAGACUUUCCCUUUCUGACCCUGGUCUUUAGCACUGUGAGGAAUUGAAGUACUCUUUGUCCUCUAACCUUUCUGUUAAAUUGUUGGUGCCCAUUAGAAGCCUGGAACCAGGACGAUGGGGUGGAGAUUGGCACUGAACAGCACACAGAAAAUAAAGAUGACCUGUACCAGAUGAGUCUCUGCAACUGGGGGGAGGAGGGGGAGAAUUAUUAAUUUUAAAAGAAACAGGAUCUGAACUCUAUGCAUUUUAGUGCCUUAUACAUGGUUUCAUUAAUGUUUUUAAGUAUUUGUGUCUGGCUAAUAACAGCUGCUUUAACAAUUCAAAUUCUAAAUUCCAGUAUAGCUUUUCCGUAAACUAAAAAAUAGCCAGAGAUUAUUUAGUACUACUUAUAAAUAAAAGUUUUUUGUUUCAUCUUUUUAAUCAGACUUUGACAUGCAAUGGUAAUAUCUUUGAAAAUGUACAUGCUCCACAAAUACUAAGUAGUAAUUGUAAAAGCUCUCCGAUUCUAGGUGUUCCCAUUCUCACAAUUUAUGGCCUGAGAAGGCAAUUGAAGGCAAUUGGUCUGUAGGAUACCUUUUAACUUUCUCUUUAAGUUCCUCCUGCAUAUUACUUUUUUUUUUUUAAAGGGAUACCUAUUAGCCAUGGAUUUAUUUUCUUGACUGCUUCUUUCUAGGUAAUGAAAAGAGUGGCAUCAUUUUUCUGUUUUCCAAGAAUUAUGUAAGCAGCACAAGCCUAGAGGCAAAACAUUUUUGGGUUUAAGUAAGUUGAGAUUGUCUUUUUGUGAAGUCUGUGAGAAGUAGAUUGUUUUCCAAUGAGGUGAAGUACCCUAUCAUUGCCCUCCUAACUAUUCUGGGUUGCCCCCUUUUCAGGACAUAAACAGAGCAAUAAAGUUGGUGCAGUUUUCACUUUUUCUCCAGGACAGCUCCUAUUCCCCGAUUCCUAUUUCUCUUUCUGAGAUAUUUUCAUUGUUGCUAUUUGCUCCUUUGGUUCACAGUGCUGCUUACUGCAGUGCAAGCCCACUCUUAAACAUGGACUCAGAAUAGGAAAUGAGGAAAAGCUGCCUUCCUUGUCUUUCUCAGGCCCCUGAGGUUUCUCGUUCUUCAUUUAGGACACCUAGUUGCUGAUUUUAAAAGAAAGGAGAUAUAGUUCUCUCUAAAAGAAGAGAUUUUUCUUAGAGAAAAUAAAAUAAAACUCAUAACAAUCCAGAUUCUGGUGCCCAAACUGAAUGGCAGGUAUGGCAAUACUAGUAUUAUUUUUUGUGAUGAAUUUCAGAACUCUCAGAACCUUUUCAAAUAUCUUCACUAACAAUUUUGACCCUUUUUGCCAUUUAGUUCUGCAUAAAGAAGGCUUGGCUACUUUCAGCUGGACUCUGUACCUGUCUGGGGAAUAGCUUCAAGCAGGUUUGUUGUUUCCUUGCUUGAUAGAGAGAUGGGACUCACACAACUGCCUUGAAGCUCAGCCUGUUGAUUUUGCAUCAAAGGACCAAAGGAGCACUCAAAAAGCCGAAUUCAGCUGAUGCAAUGGAAGUCAGGCAUGAAUAUUGAGAGGGGCCAGAGCCCUCUGUUGGUACCAGAUGCUUCCGUGCUUUGCAAAGAGAUGUGGGAGCACCAAGUCCUGAACCACCUUUGCUCUCAACCUCCCAUCCCAGUAGUCCCAAGAAGGGCUUGCUAGAGGACAGAAGACCCAGAAUUUCAAGAGGAACCCCUUAAAUUUUGGAGAAGAAGGAUUCAGGUGUGAAGACAUUGAUGGACUGUGUUGCAAGAAGACAUCAUCUGCAUUUGUUGCAGUCUCAACGAAAUGGAAACAAAAUUCUAACAUUUCCUCUUGACCCAGAAAGUCAAGGACCAGCCAGGUUUUCCUUUGCUUUUCCUGGAUGUAGACACAAGAGGCAGCACAGCAUAGCACCCUAACUCUGCUGGAGCAUGUUCUUCAGCCAAGUCAAGUUCCUCCAGCCUACCUGACCACAUGGACACAAAUGCAGCAGACGCACAGCAAAAGGGAUACACUGAUUCAGAGGCAGGAACAAGCCAUUGGGAAAGGACAGAUGGAUGGGACACUGAAACAUGAAGUUUAGGACCAGCAGCACUCAGAAUCUGUUCUCUCAAUAGGCUGGAAGCAUACCUGGGGACUCCAUCAAUGUGUAAAGGAACAUUAUAGGUUGGCACAAUAACUGAUAGAAGAUUACAGACUCUGAUUAAAUUACUGUGUGCCAAAACUGGUUAAAAAUGCACAAGAAAUUUAUUUACAGAAAAAUCGGUCUUGAAAUGUUCUCAAGCAACACUAAUUUAAGGCCUGCAGAAAUACUCUUCUCUCCAUGCCAGAGAUCCAAAACUCAAGCUGAAGAGAUCUUGAGCCCCCUUCCUUUGAUGGACUCCCUUUGAGUGGGAAGCUGCAGCAGAUGACUUCUGGAGAUCCCUUCCAGCGUUUUUUGCUCUAGUGGGAUGCCGAUCUCCAAGAGCAAAGCGACAGGGGUGGAGACAAAGUGCUGGGGUGGACUGUUUGAGCCUUGGUAGCAAGGAGAGGAAUUACAUCCUGGAGGCAGCAGAAGUGUAACACUGCCCUGGAGGCUGCAGACAUCACCUACACAGUUCUCUCCCCCAUCCCAUCAGGGGCAGUGAGCGAGCUGCUCUGUGGGGAUGAGUCCCCAACUGGCAUUAAACCAUGACAGGAAGGCUCUGUCAAAUGAAAGUUGGCAUUUGGAUGGUCCACUACUGAUAAAAAGAUUUAACAAACAGCUGAAUGCAGGAAUUUACAAAAAAGUAAUGUUCAGGAGGAUAUAGAAGACAUUUCUAUCCAAGAUAAAUAGUAUAACUCAUCAGAGUUUUAUUUAUUUUUACCACCAGUUUGGAUGUAAAUUCAUAAGCACCACACUACAUUUGGAUACUGUUAAUUUUGUCUUGUCUUUUUCAAAGACACAAGAAUGAGAACAAAGCCCUUAGUAUCUCUGGUUCAUGUUUUCUCCAGUUUAUAAUGACACACUAGGAGCCUCGUAAGGACGAGAAAUAAAUGUCUGCAAAAAAACUCCUGUGUUAUUUUAAUUCUUAGCAGGCAAUUGAACAAUCAGAAUUGAUUUUUAAUUUCAAUUAGUGAGAAAUCUAAAACAGUUGAUAUUUUGAUUUGAUAUUAAAAAUUGAUAAAAUAAGACAUUGAAGAUUCUCUUUAAAAAUCACAUAAGCAUUUUCCUCAUCUGAAACGUCCAGUUCAGAUCCACCUUAUAUUGUAAAUAAUAAAGCAGGAGAAAUUUUACUGUUUUCUUGCAGGUUUAAAAAGAAAAAAGUGAAUGCUAUGCAAUAAGGUUUUAGCACCUAUGUUCUACUCAGGUAGCAAUUUACUAAAUAUAAGUAAUUUUUUUAAAUAGUCCUCAUAUGUUUAGUUUGUUUUGCAGCCUGAAAGUGAGAGGUAAAACUCAUAAUGAAAAGAGGUUGUCCCUUGUAGUUGCAGCUGUACCAUAUUUAUGAAGACUUACAAAAGCAGUAUGUACAGGUUCAUCUUUUCAACAGCUAUUGAAAAGUUGCUGGUGAGAGGCCUACAGCUACCACAGUGACCUGCAGUCUAGAAAAUAGAUUCUGGUUGCUCUAUCCAAGGUGAAAAGCAGACUAAAAUGUGGUUUGUGGAAGAAUCAAGGGAUCAUCGAAGGACUUUUGUUACUUGCAGGUCUCUCUAACCUUGAUUGACAUGCAUAUUAAAUUGUGUCUUGUUAAGGGAUCUCUUUGCUGAGUGUUUAUUUCUUGUUUGUAACAUGAGAAAUAGAUGAAUUCCGAGUAAAAUACAGCCUUUUUGGUAUC